GACGAACGCUGGCGGCAAGCUUAACACAUGCAAGUCGAACGCCGUAGCAAUACGGAGUGGCAGACGGGUGAGUAACACGUGGGAACGUGCCUUUCGGUUCGGAACAACUGAGGGAAACUUCAGCUAAAACCGGAUACGCCCUUCGGGGGAAAGUUUACGCCGAAAGAUCGGCCCGCGUCAGAUUAGGUAGUUGGCGGGGUAAUGGCCCACCAAGCCGAUGAUCUGUAGCUGUUCUGAGAGGAAGAUCAGCCUCACUGGGACUGAGACACGGCCCAGACUCCUACGGGAGGCAGCAGUGGGGAAUAUUGGACAAUGGGCGCAAGCCUGAUCCAGCUAUGCCGCGUGGAUGAAGAAGGCCUUAGGGUUGUAAAGUCCUUUCGGCGGGGAAGAUAAUGACGGUACCCGCAGAAGAAGCCCCGGCUAAUUUCGUGCCAGCCGCCGCCGUAAUAC
rnacentral:rRNA from 1 species